ensembl:lncRNA
UCUCAUUGUCUGAUUUAUGCUCUUAUGCAGUUGUUUCUGUUUUUAUUCUAUAUUUUUGUUAUUUAGUGCCUUUUAAAACUCCAGUUUCUUAAUCUUUCAGUGCCUGUAUCGACCUCUUCAGUAAUGGUGAAUCUUCAUGAUGAUGCUACUCUCUCCUGCCAAAUAGUUGCCAAAUAGUAUUAAACAUUGUGGUAGACUUUCUGACAGUGUAUCUAAUCUCUAUGGUGUGGGGAUGGGACAUGACUUCCCUGAUCCAGUGAUUAUAUGUGGGUGCAGUGGGGGGUUUGAAAGCAGUCUGCCUUCAAGGCAACAAAGUCCUCCAUCACUCAUCUGGUCUAAAAGGGUUGUGGUCUGAUUGUCUGAUUUAUUGAAUGCCUUUUUAAACUCCACUUUCUUAAUCUCUUUCAGUUCCUGUAUCGACCUUCUCUUCAGUAAAGGUGAAUCUUCAUGACAAUGCUACUCUCCCCUGCACUCAGACAUGUUCUGGUCUGGUCACAUGGACUGUGUCCCAUAAACAACUUGACAUUCUGGCUCAGUGUAACCAGACAUCCUGUCAGUCAAAGGAGGGAUUUCACAUGUCACAUGAUCAGUACCUGAAGGGAGAUCUCUCCCUCACCAUCACUGAUGUUGAUUACACUAAGAGGACCUGGUACACCUGUGAGUGUGAUGGUGUAGUCAUCUAUGAUGUGAGUCUAUGGAUAGAGGGUAAGGUUUGUUCUCUCAGUCUUUGCUAAUGAACCCUUAAUGAAAAUCUGGUGCUGGAUUUGCCCAUAUCAGAGUCAGUGAAGGUGAUGUAUAACAGCACAGGUGCAGCUGUUCCCUCUAGUGGACAGAUCUGCACAGUGGCUGGAAGCUCAUUACAAUGUAAAGAUGAAUACACUCAGAGAGCAUCUCUCAUCUCUGCUGUUGAGCUGAGAGAAACAGCACCAUCUGAUGGUGGAGUUUACACGAUCUGGGACACCAGUAAUGAAGAGGUCAUUCACACAUACACAGUUACUGUUGAAGAAGUCCAGCCGUGUCCAGAUCAGAGCUCCACAGUGACGGUGUUGGCGGUGCUCCUGGCUCUGAUGGGGGCAGGGCUUGUGGCAGCAGGGCUGGUGAUUGUGCAGCUGAGGAAAAAAAUCAGCAGCUCCAGAAAGGAGGUACAUUGAAGGGAAACUGUAACCAUGGCAAGAGAGGAGAUAUUACAGAAAGAUGGAUGUGUGUUCCAGGUCCACUGCCAGGAUUUCCAGGAUU